rnacentral:rRNA from 1 species
CCGAGCAACAGCUAAGGUAGUUUGACUCCGUGGCUACAGGACGAACGCUGGCGGCACGCCUAACACAUGCAAGUCGAACGGAGAUAUUUUGGUUUACUGAGAUAUCUUAGUGGCGGACGGGUGAGUAACACGUGAGCAACCUGCCUUUGAGAGGGGGAUAGCUUCUGGAAACGGAUGGUAAUACCCCAUAACAUACAUUUAUCGCAUGGUGGAUGUAUCAAAGAUUUAUCACUCAAAGAUGGGCUCGCGUCUGAUUAGAUAGUUGGUGAGGUAACGGCUCACCAAGUCGACGAUCAGUAGCCGGACUGAGAGGUUGAACGGCCACAUUGGGACUGAGACACGGCCCAGACUCCUACGGGAGGCAGCAGUGGGGAAUAUUGCACAAUGGGGGAAACCCUGAUGCAGCGAUGCCGCGUGGAGGAAGAAGGUUUUCGGAUUGUAAACUCCUGUCUUAAAGGACGAUAAUGACGGUACUUUAGGAGGAAGCUCCGGCUAACUACGUGCC